rnacentral:ncRNA from 2 species
AGGUAGUGCUAGGGGUGCCUCUUUGAGGCUGAGAGAUAAAAUAUUUUAUUAACCCUUGUACCUGAUCUGGAUAAUACCAGCGUAGGAAAGCGAUAAUACAUGUAA